rnacentral:rRNA from 1 species
UUAGAGUUUGAUCCUGGCUCAGGACGAACGCUGGCGGCGUGCCUAAUACAUGCAAGUCGAACGCUUCUUUUCCAUCGAACUUUGGUUCACCGAAAAAGAAGAGUGGCGAACGGGUGAGUAACACGUGGGUAACCUACCCAUCAGCGGGGGAUAACACUUGGAAACAGGUGCUAAUACCGCAUAAUCUUUUUCUCCGCCUGGAGAGAAAGUGAAAGGCGCUUUUGCGUCACUGAUGGAUGGACCCGCGCUGCAUUAGCUAGUUGGUGAGGUAACAGCUCACCAAGGCCACGAUGCAUAGCCGACCUGAGAGGGUGAUCGGCCACACUGGGACUGAGGCACGGCCCAGACUCCUACGGGAGGCAGCAGUAGGGAAUCUUCGGCAAUGGACGAAAGUCUGACCGAGCAACGCCGCGUGAGUGAAGAAGGUUUUCGGAUCGUAAAACUCUGUUGUUAGAGAAGAAUAAGGAUGAGAGUAAAAAGUUCAUCCCUUGACGGUAUCUAACCAGAAAGCCACGGCUAACUACGUGCCAGCAGCCGCGGUAAUACGUAGGUGGCAAGCGUUGUCCGGAUUUAUUGGGCGUAAAGCGAGCGCAGGCGGUUUCUUAAGUCUGAUGUGAAAGCCCCCCGGCUUACCGGGGGAGGGUCCUUGGAAACUGAAGAACUUGAGUGCAAAAGAAGAAAGUGGAUUUCCAUGUGUAGCGGUGAAAUGCGUAAAUAUAUGGAGGAACCCCAGUGGCAAAGGCGACUCCCUGGUCUGGAACUGGACCUGAAGGGUCCAAAGGGCGUGG